AUACAUGACGCCAUUAUGUUUACGUAGGUGGCUAGCAAAAUAGCAAGCUGCCAACAGCUGGUAUCUUGCAAACAUAUACUAGAUAAAGUAGUACAGUUGGUAAUUGUCAGCAAAAGCAGAGUGAGUGGUUAUCUGUUGUGACUAUUUGUUUUAUGCCUAGAGUCUAGUCUUUAGCAACCUACUAACCUGGGGCAAAAUAGAACGAGUCCCAUUUCGAACACAAACAAGACAGGCGAGAGACAGUCAGCAGCUGUAGUACGCUCGCGUUAGCACGCAACCUCGACAGCAGCUGAUUAGCUAGCUACCUUUAGCAAUUUGUGCAACAUAAAAAAAAAUGUCGGACCUUGAAACCAGCGAAGAUCCAACUGUGGUGAAAAUGGAGGAGGACGGAGAGGCUAGCACCGAAGAGCAGACGCCAACUGUUGCAGAGGGCGGCCAGGCAGGAGAAUCCGAGGGAUCAAAGAUUGAUGCCAGCAAAAACGAAGAGGAUGAGGGGAAAAUGUUUGUUGGUGGUCUGAGCUGGGACACAACAAAGAAGGAUUUGAAGGAUUACUUCUCCAAGUUUGGGGAGGUGGUAGACUGCACCCUGAAGCUUGACCCCAUGACAGGCCGGUCCCGAGGGUUCGGCUUUGUUCUGUUUAAAGCAGCUAACAGCGUUGAUAAGGUGGUUUUACAGAAGGACCACAAGCUGAAUGGGAAGGUGAUCGACCCUAAGAAGGCCAAGGCCAUGAAGAACAAGGAGCCCAUCAGAAAGGUCUUUGUAGGAGGUCUUUCUCCAGACACUCCAGAGGAGAAGAUCAGAGAAUAUUUCGGUGCCUUUGGAGAGGUGGAGUCCAUUGAGCUCCCCAUGGAAACCAAAACCAACAAGAGACGAGGCUUCUGCUUCAUCACCUUCAAAGAGGAGGAGAGAGUGAAGAAGAUCAUGGAGAAAAAGUACCAUAAUAUAGGAUUAAGCAAGUGUGAGAUUAAGGUGGCCAUGUCCAAGGAGCAGUACCAGCAGCAGCACUGGGGGGGAGGAGGCAGGGGGGGAUACCCCUCCAGGCCUCCCGGCAGACAGGGACCCAAUCAGAAUUGGAACCAGGGAUAUGGCAACUACUGGAACCAAGGUUACGGCAACAACUACGGCAAUUAUGGCUACAACAACCAAGGCUACGGUGGCUAUGAUUACUCUGGUUACAACAACUAUUACGGCGGAUAUGGUGACUACAGCACAGACCAGCAGGGUGGUUAUGGGAAGUCCCCCAGGCGAGGUGGUCACCAAAACAAUUACAAGCCGUAUUGAUGUAACAUAAGUUCCACACACGCAGACAGGUAUGUUUUAUAAAUCAGCUACAACAAACCUAGAAAAAGUGCAAUGUAUCUACCUCUGUAUAAUAAUAAUAAUAAACCCUCAUAAUGUUUUUCUCUUUAUAAUUUUUCACAGCACCUGAAAAGUGCUUUACAGUAGUCUUAACAUAGAGGCUACAGUCUUUUUUUGGUGAAUUAUUUCUGCUGCCUCUUAUGAGCCAUUUUGUAACUGUAAAGUUAACAGGUAUAGUACUACUAUUACUACAGUAAAAUGGAUACCAAGAGUUAAGGAUUUACAAGGGAAAAGAGAGUGAAAGAGAGAAAAUAAUAAUGUUGUCUCCUAACUCUGACAUAUACCUUGUUUGUACCUGCCAGCGGAGCUUCCUUGCAGGCCAUGAGCUGACCUCCCCGGUACUCUCUGGCCCGCUCAAUGCGGACCGGGUACGAGAGGCGUACGCUCUCGAAUGCUGCCAUUUGGAUGGAAGAUUGAAGGAUAUCUUGUGAAGGAGCGUUGGCAGACGAAGUGACAGGUUUCAGUCAAGAGUUUCCUUUAUUAUGGACGGCUUGAGACAGGACACAGUCAGAGUAUUCAGUUGAUCUACGCACAUUGAAUUUAUGUUCAGUGUUGUAUUUCGUUGUUUCUUCUUGCAAAGCUUUUAAAAGUUUCCUAUUCGUCUUGUAUUGAGUUACACUGUGUGAAAGGAAUAUAUGCAGAAUUAUAUUUAAGAGUUGAUUAUUCACUUACGCUCAGUGUUAUCCCUUUUGUUAAAUGUGUAUAAUAUUCUAUGUAAAUUGCUUUUUGUUAAGGCAUAAAUUACCUUUAUUGAAACCCAAAUAGGAUUAGGAUACUUAAUUGUUCCCGAAGUGGAAAUUUGUCUUCGAUAAAUAAAAUUGGAUUGGUCAGGGCCAGAAAAUAAAUGAUUUAUAUUGCGGUCAAAAGCAAAUGCAAAUGGGCCCUUAAAUAAAUCUAUAUCCUUUAUCGUAGUUAUCACAAGUAAACAUUUUGUUAAUAUAUAUUUGACAUGGUACACAGAAAUAUAGAACAUUCAGAAAUCAUCAAAACAUUUAAAUAAAAAAACGUAUCUGAAAUUGAAA